rnacentral:rRNA from 1 species
AUUGAACGCUGGCGGCAUGCUUUACACAUGCAAGUCGAACGGUAACAGGCCGCCAGGUGCUGACGAGUGGCGAACGGGUGAGUAAUGCAUCGGAACGUGCCCAGUCGUGGGGGAUAACUACUCAAAAGAGUAGCUAAUACCGCAUACGAUCUAUGGAUGAAAGCGGGGGACCGUAAGGCCUCGCGCGAUUGGAGCGGCCGAUGUCAGAUUAGGUAGUUGGUGGGGUAAAGGCUCACCAAGCCAACGAUCUGUAGCUGGUCUGAGAGGACAACCAGCCACACUGGGACUGAGACACGGCCCAGACUCCUACGGGAGGCAGCAGUGGGGAAUUUUGGACAAUGGGCGCAAGCCUGAUCCAGCAAUGCCGCGUGCAGGAAGAAGGCCUUCGGGUUGUAAACUGCUUUUGUACGGAACGAAACGGCUCUGGUUAAUACCCGGGGCUAAUGACGGUACCGUAAGAAUAAGCACCGGCUAACUACGUG